UUGACUCAUCAUCAGUGUUGACCAUGAACACUUACAGAGUUUCCAAAGCCAUUAGCUGAAAAGCUUUCCCCCCAAAUGGUGCCAAUUUCUUACCCUAUUCACCAAGAGAAAAGCCAGUAUGAGCUUGCUUCACUUGGGCUGAAGACGAUACCAGAUGCAUCUUUCAAUUUGGGAAUGCAGCCAGAAGUUACACCUCUUUGGAUGUAGGAAGUUGACUUAAGACAUCGACCUUCUGGUUAAGAAGGAAUUCCCGCCAGUUCAACGCAGGGUUCAACGCAAGCAGCAUGGAAAACCGGACCAUGAAACGUUUGAACUACUUUGGGAGGACUCUGAUGCAGGAUAGCAAGACCCGAACACUGAAAAAUGACACACCAGGGCUCGGGGUAUCUGAAGAUGGACAGAAAUGGAGAACUAGCCUUGAAUCAUGCGUUGGAGAAUGGUAGAUUUCAAUCAACGUGUCACUUCUACCCAAAUCCAUCUCCAGAAUCGACAGGAUCCCAGUCAAAA